GGAAGCGCGCGGCAUGCUGGCGCAGCCCCCGGUCUUCAAAACCGGCGCGAGACGGGCCCGGCCCGGCUCGGGUGGGUUCGAUUCCCAUGCGCUUCCGCCA
rnacentral:tRNA from 1 species